UCUGUCAAAAAAAAAAGAAAACUUAAACUCCUCUUUUCUCUCAUCUCCCCUCACCCUCUUCGAUCAGUGGACCGUGCCGCCGCCAUAGCGCCUCCGUAUCCAGUGGUUGGCGCUGCGCGAAGUCGUUUCUGACCAGCGCUAUGAAGCGCGUUCAACGGCUAGAACUUCGGGACGGAGAGCCGAAGGAAAGAAAAGGUUUUUUGCCCUCCCCUGAGCCUGAAUCCGCCGACGGCAACGGACCAUCGACGGCGGGUCAAAGAGCCUAUUCAAGUGUCAAACGCGAGGAUGGCCGGUGAUAGGCAUAGGUGGUGGUGACAGGCGACGGCAGAGGCUAGGGACAGGCUAGGGCGACAGCACUCGGGUUUAGGAGAGUUUAGGGUUUCUGAAACAUUUUAAGGGUUGGGCCGUUUAGGCUUUAGGUUUUUAGUUGGGCUGUUAGGUGUAGGUUAGGUUUGUAAAAGGAGUGGGUUUAUUUUAUUUAGGCUUUGGGGCCAUAUUGGGCCCGGGCUAAAUUUGGGCUUUACAGUAUCAAAGGAAAUCCUUGAUCAAAAAUUGUGCUUUGAGCUAUAUUUAAAUAAUGGAUAUUGAAGAAGAAAAUAACAGUUUUCAAGGGGUUAUCUAUAAAAUAGUAGCAAAGGUUAUGGAUGCUA